rnacentral:rRNA from 1 species
UACGUAGGGUGCAAGCGUUGUCCGGAAUUAUUGGGCGUAAAGAGCUUGUAGGCGGUUUGUCGCGUCUGCUGUGAAAUUUCGGGGCUCAACCCCGAACUUGCAGUGGGUACGGGCAGACUAGAGUGUGGUAGGGGAGACUGGAAUUCCUGGUGUAGCGGUGAAAUGCGCAGAUAUCAGGAGGAACACCGAUGGCGAAGGCAGGUCUCUGGACAGUUCCUGACACUGAGACACGAAGGCCAGGGGAGCAAACGGG